AAACAAAUCUCUUCCAUGCCCAACAGAGUGGUUAUUCCGUGUUGAUAUUGUUAAUAAAUGGAAAGAGUCUAACGGUUUCAGUGCUGCCCAGAUGUUUAGAGAAUAUCAAGAUGUCUGAUACGGCCUUACUGGGGGAUUAGAAGUCUUUUGGUUCAAUGGAAAAUUAGCUCAGCAGUCCAGUGAGAAAGUGUUGAAUGAUGCAAUGAAACCAUCACAAAACAGUUCUGCUUAUGUCUAUGAAAGCUGGCGUCGAACUGAAUCUAACCGCUUCUUCACACGUCUUCUUAACGCGUAGGGCAGAAAAGAAUGGCAUGUGGAAGAAGCUUCAUUGUUAAAGUACUACUAUAAAUUGCAUUCUCAUUGAGUUUCUUGCAUCGUAAGUAAUAUAUUUCUCAGUAACAUGGUAUGUUUUUGGAUGAUCCAGACCAGGUCACCUUCUACACUCCUGGGCGUGACAAGUCAGAUAAUAGGAAAACAAAAGCUUGCUACAUGUCUCUCUAAGGUAGUUUUGUUUCUUCCUGAAUUGGUCUAAACAAGCAGAAGAAGGCUAAGGGAAACCGGAACAUUAUCUUCUGGUUGGACACAGAAGGUAAACCAAAUCAAUUUUUUAACCAUCUGAACUUUUUUUUCUAAUCAAACUGGUUUUACUUAACGGGGUUAUGAUUUUGUUGUAAUAUCUUUAAGCGCUUGGAAUGCAUUGGAUCGUUUGGUGCAAGAAAAUUUUGAUGUAUAAGAAACCACAGGAGAAGAAGGUGGUCAAGUAAAGUGAUGGAAGAUCUAACUCCAUUAAUGGAGCUAUAAUAGGAGGAAGCUUUAUGCUUGGAUCAACAAGUCUCCACCCAUAAAUUUAGACAAGACAAUCCGUUUUUUUUUUUUUUUGCAAUUAUUAUUUGUUCCCAAUAGUCCAAAAACUACCGUUGACGAAGUCUUUUUCUUUUGUAUUUCUCAUUCACUAUAAAUAAAAAUUUCAAAUUUCUUCUUGAUUUUGCCUUUAUGUGAUAGAUUAAAACAAAAUAUUUUGUUUGGUAUGUACAAGCAAAUGUUACUUUUAUGUUAGUUUCGACUGCGAUUAGCGUUUGAUGUUGUUUGAAAUGUCAAUUUGAUCUCUUUCUUUUGCAAUGGUGCAACUGAGAAGUUUCAUGCAGGCAUAAAAGUAUUCAAAUCUGUUUUAAAUUUGUGGCCAAUAUAGUGGAUAUUUACUCUUGGAUAUAGAGGAACUCUAUUAUAGAAGUAUACAUUGGAGCAAAUCCACCUCUAUAAUAGAGAUCUCUAUUUUAGAGGAAAAUAUAGAGAUAUACAUUGGAGAUGCUCUAAUAUAGUGGAUAUUUACUCUUGGGUUGCAAUAGCUAAUGUGAUUCACGAUAUUGGUUGCAAAGGGAACAAUGGUACAUGAUCAAGCAACGGGCUAUUGGUGGCCACGAGCCACAUGAGCCACGUUAGUUGCAUCAGUGAUUUUACAUAAAAAAUUUUGAAGUGUGAUUUUACAAGUUUUCUGAAUAUUAAUAUUACGUUUGAAUCAUUGGAAAAUGGUAAUAACUUUCAUGAGAAUAACAGAGCAUAAACCCAUAUGAAAUUAAGUUGUGAAGGUUUUAGGAAAAUUGGAUAUUUAGUUCCAAAAUAGAGCAACGAUAUUAAGAUUUUUGUUUUUGUUAAAGAACAAUGUUAAGAUUUGUUAUCAUAUAAAUAUAUGUACUAAUAGUGUUGUCAUAUAAACAUAUGUACUUAUAGCAAAUCACACUUCAAAAAUGUUCAAUUGUAUAAAAAAUGAUAGGAUACAUAUUUAUUUGUGUAUGUACAUGACUUUUAUCGUAUCUCCCUUCAAAACUAUAGUAUGCAAUAAUGCUGACUUUCAUUUUACUAUUGAACAAACUUCCAAAUACGUUCCAACUAAAAACUCUAACAAUAUGAUUUCACCAUUUAUUUAUAAUAUCCCAUAAAAUAAAAUAAUAAAAUCAAAAAGAACUAAAAAAUAUCCUAACAAACAAUGAUUUUAAUUCAAAUGGAAAUAAUGUUUCAUAAGCUCAAACCAACGAAAAGAUCUAAUCUCACAAAUAUUUUUUUUUUUGUGUUACCAAACUCAAAAACCAAAAAAAUAAUAUGAAAACUAAUGGAAAAGCAAAAUGAGCAAUUAUACACAAUCAAACAUAUAGUUAAAAAAGAGUAACACUAUCUAAUAAAUAAAAUAAAAUACAAAUAGCAUACAUAUUACUAUCUCCCAAAUAUCAACACACUUUUAAAUAAAGCAAAAUGGCAUCGUAACAUCGUCUCUUGCAUUUUUUAAUUAAAGAAAUUAAUUACAAAGUUUUGACGAACCGCAAUACACAAGAAAUCUAAAAAUAACAUAUGAUAAUGGAUUACCUCAAAUAAAUAAAUUUAAAAAAAAAAAGAAAAUACAUCGUCGCAAUAAAGAUAAAAUAUUAUAUC